UUCUAAUCUUCCUACAGAUAUUUCAAUCAUGUUUACAGAAUUUUAGCCAUCUCGAUAUUUUUAUUACAUUUAAUAAUAAGGUGUGUAAUAAAUAAUUUUAGUACAAAGAAUUCAUAUUCAUUUAAAAUUGUAAUAAAUUCCAAAUAAAUUUAAAAGCUAGCAAUGUGUUGCAUCAAGAAUGCUUUCAUUAGUCCCAUUUCCAGAGGAAAUAUUCGAGAAUUGUAUCGAUAAGCACAAACAAAGGUUAUAAAAGAUUCAGAGAAAAGAAAACAAAAGAAGAGCUGCCAUUUUGAAGGAACCUAUUUUCACGGGCUGAGAUAAAAGUCUACGAGAAGAAAGACAGACAGAGGAAGGCAAUUUCUCCUAAAAGGCUGUUAUCCCGCGGCUUCGAUUCCUUUCGAGGAUAGACACGACCCGUAUAGAAGUUUUAAUGGCGGAAAAUGGCUAGUGACGGAUCUCUCUUGCACAGUGCGGACCUUAACUCAGCACUUUACACCGAGCACCUAUCUCUUCUAUCAUUCUCAUCAACGUCCAAUUAACUAUAUGAAGAUUAUCACGGCAGUAACUUCAAAUGAGCCGCUCGAUGAACCAUGUCUCUCGCGUUUCGAAUACGAGAACUUUGGUUUUGAGGGAAAAGAGAUGGAAAUUUUGAAAUUUUUAGAAGAUCGAGGGUUCUUGGCGUUCUUAGUAAUUAGAUGACUGAUGUUAAUUUUCGGUGUGUUAAUAUUGCAUUGAAAAAAAAAAAACAAAUCAUUUCAAAGCAAAUUUUACAUGAAGACUUCUACGAGAGAAAUUUUUCUUCUAUGAGAGAAACAGACAUACCAGAAUGAAAAAUCAAAUUAUUAAACGUUUAAAAAUUUCAAAAAUUAAUUUUUGCAUAUUGAAUGCGCUUUCUUAUAAAAAAACAAAAGAAAAGAAAUUUACAAUGGUUUUGAAGAGGGAAUCUACUAUUCCUCUGAUUGCCUGGUAAGAACUGGUAAGAAAUCCGACUAAUUUCUCGAAUUCCGCGACAACACGGAAGAAAACAGAAAAAUGGGAUGAGAAGGAGCUGACCCAUUUGGCGGUAGAAUGGCCUAAGGGGGUUGGAAAAGAGAUAGCGAGUGGAAAUAGGCGAGAAAAAAGGGCAAACCCGUGUGUACGGAACACGCGGGUAUCUUUUGUCGCCGAUCUGGCCACCGGCGUCUCGGCAUAAUUAAAAUUCUACAGACUCGCCCCGGAAGUUUGGACCACCUCCAAAAUGCUCGAACCAAGUUACUCCAUGGAUCGAUCCGAAGGCGAAUCUUCUGUCUGUGACAUCGCUGCUGUUGAAUGAAGGGAGCUGCGAUGGGAAAGUUAAGUGUACCAAAGAAAAUCAAGGAGAAAUUGUUUGGCCAAGCUUACGUUAGAAUGAGAAUGAUUGAUCGAUCGACGUGAUAUUGACGGCCUUGACGGGGUUUUUUGAACGAUGGUUCAUGAUAUUUUGUGAUGGGAAAUUUAAUAGUUACAGCAAUGUACUUGGCAGUUUGUAAUUUUUUUAUUUUCUUCAAGUUUCAGACGAUUUGUAAUUGUUUGAAUUAAUUUGUUAGAAUGAUGAGAUUAAUUAGAGGAAGUAUUAGAAACUUAGAUGAGUAAUAGAAUAGAAAGGUAAUGAUUUUAAUGUUUUUAAUGCGAAUGGUGAUUUAAUCAUCGAGGUAAUUUAAUCACGAUGAGCAAAAUUUUUCAAUUAUGCAUUUCUAUUGAAUCACGUUAAGUCAAUGAUCGUAUUGCUGUUUGAGAAAUUGGAUAUUACGUUGAAAAUUGAGAAAUACUUUCGAAUGUAUCGUGAUAUUAAGAGAAAGGUAGAUUUUAUAGAACGGAUAGGAGACCAAAUGCUAAGCCAUUUAAUUGGUUAAAUAUUUUAUUUGAGGAAUCUUGGGAGAGAGGAUUCCCAGAAAUUGGCCGCUUCGAGCAAAUAUUGAGAUAGGCCUCGUAAAUGGUUCUGCUCGUUUAAAAGGAAACGUGAUGAUGCAACACGUACAACUUUCCAUCUGAUCCCAGAUUUCAUGUCACAGAGUAAAAAUCAGAAGAAAGAAAAAUUAUAAAGAAAAAUUACAAAUAUACGAUCCAGGAUUUAAGAAUCUUUCGAAAGAAGAAUAACAAAUUAAUUUUACGUUCAAUAAAAGGAUUAAGAAAUAAAACAAAUUGAUACAGAUACUCGUGUUAGCUUGUCCCUGGAAAAACGCGACGAAAGGGAUUGUCGUAGCUGCUGAUCGCACAGUUUCUCGGUUACAUUGGUGUAACCGGUUCUCCAAGACUCCUCGUCGAGUCUCUUUGUAUCGGGCGAGGCCUGGAUUCGUGCCGUUCAAGCGAUUUUUAUUAAACGACGCGGUUGAGAGAAUACAUUGUUUGUCGCGAAUUGCGCCUCUUGUGGUGAGAGCUAACCCCAGUCCUACGCCCUCUUCUUCCCUUGUAAUUGCUGACUGGUAAAUUGCUUCGAAGAAAAAUUAAUUUGCGUUACACUUAAUUGUGAUGGAACACUUAAUCAUUAAUUUAAAUUUAAAAAUCAAAAAUUCCAGAAUCGUGAAUGUUCUUCGAUUUGAGGAUAAGAAUAUUCUAUAAAACUCUUUAAGUCGAAGUUUCAAAUUUUCUUCAAAUUAUAUUUAUAGUACAGAUAGAAGCUUUUUUUUAAAAGCCUCGAAACAAUUUUCGCCUUAUCAAACGGAGAACCAGAUAUCUUUGCCACCCACAAUCUGUUCCUUCCCAUAAUUCAACCCUCAUAAUUCCCCACCAAAUACAUUCUAAAAUCGCUCGUUCAGCACCCAUAUCCCCUUUUCGCAAUCUCUUUCUCAGUGUUCCGCACGUGGAGAGUGCGAUUGCCCAAUUUCCCUCAAUUUUCCCAAAGCAACUUCGAAAUCAGCCCAGUCAGGGAAGCGUGCACGACCCCGCCAAGCUUUUAUAUUUGCUUAACAUUAGAUUACCCUUCUCGAGGGUAUGUAGGUCGUCUAGUUUGUUCCCAGUUUCAGGAAUUUACGAUUAAGUCCCGCAGAAUUGAAUUUUCCAGGGGUUGGAAUAACUGCGUGCCGCCAUUCUGCAAGAAUUUCGAGUUGAACGGGAUCUCUGUUCCGUGAUUGGUCGGUGAUUUAUUCAGUCGUUUCUGGUAUCCGUGUGCAGUUGGUAACAGUAUUUUUGACGUUCUUAUAUUUGAUGUAUAAGUUCGUGCAAUAAAUUAUGCAUCUAUGGAUCUAUAAAUUUUGAUAAGAUAUUUUUUUUAUACGAUACAAAUUUUUUGAUUUGUGUGUUUUUCUUCUUUACAAUAUCGAUUUUCCUUUUUAUACGUUUAUAUAAAUGUUUUUGUGCAAAUGUCUUAAAUUACUAUUUUUUUUUCUAUAUAUAAUGUUUCUUUUUGAAGAGAUCCAGAUGUAUAAUUGAUCGAUAGUUUAAUACAAAAAGAAUAUCUUAGAAUCUCUCCUUGACAAAUUUAAAUUUGUUGGGACAAAAUAUCGUAAUUAUAUCACGUGAAAAAAUUAUAUCCAAUCAAAUAACGAAAUUAAUCAUUCUUGUUACGAAUUUUUCGAUCAAUAACAUUAAUAUUAUACAUUUUCAGAUCUCCUUCAACUACGAUAAUCAAGUAAUCGGAAGUUCUCUUAUUAUUUCGAAAAACUCAUGAAUGGAAAGUAAGACUUAAUCGUGCAGCUUUUCGCACGCCUCCAAACCGAGUUCUCGAGCAGCUGACGCGAUAAUUUAUCGGGCCGUUUAACUUUCGAGUUUCGUUCGCGUGAAACACGAGGGAAGAGGGAGAGGGAGAAAAAAACUCGAUACCAGGAAACCAGUUUCGAACAGACCGUGAUUUCAAUAGAUUCCACGACUCUCUAAACAUCGGUUCCUUCUCGAAUUUACUUACUUCAACCCAGAUCGAAUUUUACCUCGCAUUCUCACUUUGCAACACCUCUGAAAUUCACUCUGCGUAAUGGGUAUAAAAAAAAGAAGAAGAAGAAGAAAAAAAUAAGAAAAUAAAAAGUGGAGAGAUAGGAUGGAAGAGAAGAAACGGAAGAGAGAGACUUACGCUCCUUACACACAGGCGGAGAAAACGUGGCGCGUAAAUAGAGCGAAUAAAGGAGGUCGAGUUGAAAUGGGGUUGAAAAUUUGUAAAGAAGGGGAAAGGGUUUUUUUUUACGAGUUAAUGAAGGGAAGCCAGGGCAAGAAGGUUGAAAGUUAAUUAAGAACAGCCUGGAAGGAAUGAUUAUUUUUCUUUUUUUCUCUCUCUCUCUCUCUCUCUCUCUCUCUCCUUUCUUUGAUGAUCGUGCUUCGUUCUGUACAAUGAAAAUUUGUUGCAUUUCGUUAAAGAUUUUUUUUGUAAAUUGUGCUUAAAUGUAAAGGCUGAAUUGUUUGAAAAAAACAUAAGGAUGGUUUGAUCAUUAAUAUUUACAUAUAUGUGGACCAUUUUUGAUUAGAUUCAUAAUUUUAAUAAUAAAAAUUAUGUACUGUACUGUACAAUUUGAAGUGAAACUAAAUUGGAUGAAUUAAAAGAGAUUUAUAUUUGUGUGUACAAUGAUAUGAAAUGUUUCGAUCAAGAUAUUCAAAAUAUGAAUAUAAAAGGGUCGAAUUUGUUGCAAUUGAGUGUAGUUUCAAUGAAAGGGAAGCUUAUAACGAUCGAUUCCGAAUUCAUUAAAUUAUUUCUUCGUUACGUAUUUAUUAACCAUCGUGCCCAUUUUCAGCGAUGAAUUACGAUAGUUGGUAUACACGUUGCAUCGAGUAUAGGGAAAUUUUGAAUUGGAUGGAGAGCAACGUCGAUAUUAACGACAGUGAUUGCUGCAUUUUCUAUAAACUUCCAUCCAACGAACAAUUGUUUCAAUAAAUAAUUUUUUCGUAUAUUUUUUAAUUAUUCAAGAAUAUAAAUAUUAUGAUUGAUAUUAUGAUUGAUACGCAAAAAAUACUCGAUAUGAAAAAAGAAAUAAAGAAGAGAUAAAAAUAGAGAAACAAUGAUUGCGUUAAUCUCUUGAAAAAAUUUUAAAUAGUGGUAUAAAUAAUAUUAUAAUCGAUGUGCAAAAGAUUCGACAUGGAAAGAAGAUAAAAGUGAUUCCGUAAACCAUAAUCGUUUUAAAAAUGAAAAAUCGUGAGAUCGUUCGCAGAAUCUUCGAUUUUCCCAAGGAUAUCGAGCGAAAAGACGAUUUAACCAAUUCUAGAAAUAUUAUUUGUUGAGACUAUGGGAAUCAUUAGCGAGCAAUUUAUCGUGUCGUCGUAGGGAAAUCGAGCGUCCAAACACGGGGAAUCGAUAUUCCAUUACGGAGGAUCGGUGGUUCGCCAGAGAGAGGCACGAUAAGAGGGCAACUAUGGCGAACGGGGGUACCGCUUUCAAGAUGGAAGAUAGAAACGUCUGGGAAAUGAAACUUGGUUACUGAAAAGGUAUCUAUCUCGCUGCUUUCCGAGUUAAUUUCGUUGUACUUCCGUUCUUCGUGAUAAUUUUUCCACGAUCGAACCUGAUAUGUACAAGUUGAAAAUUUCUGGUAACUUUGCCAACAAUUCAUUAAUCUAAAUUUAUUUAAUUUUACAGAAUUAAACACGAAAGAAGAAAUCUGGUAAAUUCAUAGUCAAAUAUAUAAAUGAAAUUUUUUUGCAAAAUAAUAAUUCAGUUCGUUUUUUCAGCAGCAUGGAAUUUGAAAUCUAUCAGGAUGGAAUCAUAAAUGAUUUACAAAUCCAUACAAAUAUUAAAUUUAUAACCGAACAUGGUAUCGUAAUAAAUUGUUUUUGAGAUCCAAUCAAUUGAAUUCUCAACUGAAAAUGCUCUUGACAAUAUUUAUAUAUAUUUUAAAAUUUAAUCACGAAAUGGCACCACUUGAAAAUUGUUUAACGAGUACUAAGAAUAUUCAUUUCAUAAUUAUUUUCAUCGUUCAAAUUUACUUUUUACCAUUUCUCUUAAAUUAUUCGAGAAACAAUACGUGUAAUAAGACUUCUCGAUAUUAAAGACAAUCACCCUCAUCACGAACGUCAAUUAAUAAUUAUUAUCUAAUAAGGAUACUCGUAAACGGAUAUCUUUCUUUGUCAUUAAUUACCUGCUCGUUAAUGAUCAAUUACGAGCGUAUUUUUCGUCGACAAUAAAGCAAGAUCGAAAAACGAUGGAAAAGAAAAAGAAAGAAAAUCAUUUCUGGAAAUCGAGACAGUACCUAUUAAUCCCACGAUAAAUCCAUCGAUCAGUGGAUAUGAAUACUCAUCCUUAUUAUUCGCCAUUAAUCGGCUGGUAAUUAGCGAUUGCUAAUUGAGGUGUUCUUUCUUGAUACGCAAAUAAAAGCUGAUUCAAAAAUGGAGUUAAAAAAGAAACGAUAAAAAUGAAUUUCAUGGAAAUUGGUCUUUUUACCAAUGAUUAAUGGUGGAAUUGGUAAUUAAUAAAUGAAAAUUUAUAUUAGGACAUUGUGAAUGUAUUUUAAUUGAAAUUUGAACAUAAUUAGAUAAAUUAUAAGAAUUAUGUCAGAUAGAUGGAAUAGAUGUGCAUGAUAAUUCAAUCAAACAUUUAGACCAAAACUAAUUUUUAACAAAAGAAAUAAUUUAACAGAAUAACAAUGCAUUAUAUAAAUAAAAAUUGUGAUUCUACUUUAAUAGCUUAAUCUCGUAGAAUCUUGAAGAAUGCAUGGAUAAUAUUUUAUGAUUAAAAUCCACCUAAAAUUAAUCUUUUUCAAAGGUAAUAAUUUAACAGAAUAAUGUUGCAUUAUGUAAACCGAGAUUGUGAUUCAGAUUCUACAGUAUCCUUUCUAGUAGAAUUUAAAGCAAAUUCAUGGAUUUUCGAGCUGGUAGCCUACAAUGAAUUUCCCUACCGAACGAAUAUUUAGAAGGCGGGUCACAGAGAAGAACAACACGGAAUAGAGACACGAUGCUCGUUGGAAAUACUGAAUAGUCUUUCCACGGUCGUCGAAUAAGUCAACGUUUAACUCUUGUUAUUUGGAAAGACAUUUAUACUUUGCAGUAUCUCUUCCAAUUUCAUUUUAGAUGCUCUUGUUUUACUUCACAAAAUUAGUUUGACAAGUAUCUUAUUAAAAUAAAUUCUUUAAAACAAAUUUAAUUUAUCCGCUUUUUAAAAUUUAUCCAUUAUAUUAAAUUAAUGUACUUAUUUUAGGUAUAUUUACAAGUAAGAUCCAAAAAUAUUUCUUGUUCUCAAAUUUUUAAAAAAUUUUUAGAACCUACAAUUGUUAAAUUCCAGAUUAUACUCUGUAUUCUAGAAUUGUAUACUUGUUUUUUCAAGGAUCACACAAAUAUUUCAAUUCUAAAAUUUUCCUUUUUUAAAAAAAAAUCAUCAUUCUUUUAUUUCAUCCAAGCUUUCACAACUUUCUUUACUCCAAUAUCUCUAUUUCUACAAUUCCUAAAACUCACAUUAUUCUACAGACAUUAUUCUAAGAUAUUUAAUUCUUCCAGGAACCAUGUCUCAUUCCUUCCAUCUCACGUUUUCUUGCCAAAGUCAAAAAAUCGUCUCGUCCAAGAACAGGAGAACGCAUCAUUAUCACGCUGAGUGGAAGGACGAAAGGCGCACGCGUGGUGAUCGGCGUGCCUAUGUGCACAAGUACACAAAUAGCUCAUUAUGAACGAAGCCCGUACUUGGACCCGUCGCGCGCACUACGUAAUUGGGGUUAAUGAUCGUGUGUACACCAGUGCCUCUCCUACUUGUACGCGAACCACCACUCGACAACUUGGCCCGGACCAGGCAUUCCACUCUCUGGCCAUUAGCAAGUGUAAUGCCGGCCGUGGUAACACCUCGUUUCUUUGCCCAUUUCCCUCAUACUUCUACAUUUUCUUUGGCCUCAUCUUGACCGUUCAGGUUCUGCUCCAGGGAAUUUUCUUUUUUAGCUUCCUUUUCUUUUUUCCUUUUUUGUGAAAGUGGAGAAAUGGAAAUAGCUUUUGACAUUUUAAUGAGGGAUUGAGGGAUAGAUGAUUUGAAGAAAGAGAUAUCGGAAUAGUUUAUGAUUAGAAAUGUGGUGGUACUCGAUUAAUUGUAAUUUUUUUUUUUCUUUCUUGUGAAGAAAUAGAAAUGGAUGGCUUUUGAUAUUUUAAUAAGAGAUUAAGAAGUGGAUGAUUUGGAGAAAGAGAUUGAGUGAAUUUUACGAUUAGAAAUGCGAAUUAGAAUUUAAUUAACUACCGUGAAACGUGUUAAUUAUCUGAGGAAGCAUAAGCAUGCCAAAUUUUUGAGUAUAAUGUAAUCGAAUUAUGAUAAUUCAAAUCUAAAAAGAAAAAUAUAAUAAUCUGGAUAAUUCUGCAGAUUAAAUUUCUAUAUGUAACAAAUUUCUGAAAAUAAUUUUAAGAUAAAUAAAGUGAACUUGGAUAAGUAUCUGAAUAAUAAUUAUUCUAGAAUAUGAUAGUGAUUCAAAAUCUUUGACAAAUACUAUAUUAUAUAUGUACUAAAAUAUAUGUAAAACAAUAUAUUUACAUAAGAAAAAUUCA